rnacentral:misc_RNA from 1 species
CAUUAGCGUGGCAACUGGCAAGAAGCUAGCCAGAUUUUCCGCGCAAAGAGCUGAGAAUUCAAAAACAAAAGAAAAACAAUUCCUUCCUUUGCUGUUUCUCACAGCCACGCUCUCUUCUCCAGAUCCCAAUAAUAAACAAAUCUUAAAAAUCUCCAUCUCUAAUGGAUCACUUCUACUAUUUCACUUUCGAAACCUUGGAAACUGUACCCUUCUCUAUAUUACUCAAGCUCCCUAGAUGGCGCAGUCUCCACCCACCUGGAAUUUCGCUCAACUCUCACUUUCUUCUCUCUCCACCCACCAUUAAAUUUAAGUUCACUUCUUGUUCUCUUUCUUUCUUUUUGCAAAUCACGGCUUUAAUUUCUUUUAUUUUUGUUUUGAUUCGAUUCCCUUUGCGUGUUCUUUAAAAAGAUCCCAUCAAGUUCACGUCUUUUGCAUGAUUUUCACCUUCUUUUCGUUCUUGAAUUUUUUGUUUUUAAUUCAUUGUUUAAGCUUUUUUUUUUUGGUAUUUUAGACUUCUUCAAAGAAAAAAAAUUAUACAGUUCCAAGUAUCACUGUUCAUCUUGCCAAGUCUUGACAGUUGUUAUUGGGCUGUGACAUGUCUGAUUUUAAGUUAGAAGUUGUUAUUUCCAAUGAUUGUGAAGAAUCAGUGGACUAUGUAAGUGAAAAGGCGACUUCAGAUGAAAAUUUUAAUGCUGUAGACAAGAUUCUGAAUGGUAUUGGAAAGCAAGAUAACAGGUCAAUUGGCAAUUUUGCAACAAAUGCGGAACGUAGAGCUGUAGGUGAUAGGUUGUUUAGAGACAAUCAAGCAGCACAUAGUGCCAGUAUCAGUGCUCUGUUUGAUGGGGAUGAAAAACGCGAACAUGGAUUUGGAAGAAAAUCCGGACCACUUUUGUCCGGAACAGCUUACUGCAUUUCCUCUUGCAGCAUGAUUUUGUUGAACAAAGUUGUUCUAUCAACUUACAAUUUCAAUGCAGGAAUAUCUCUUAUGUUAUAUCAAAAUUUGAUCUGCUGUAUGGUUGUUGCCCUUUUGGGUAUCUGUGGAGCUGUUUCAGUGGAAAAGCUUAAUUGGAAACUAAUAAAGGUCUGGAUCCCUGUCAAUGCAAUCUUUGUUGGCAUGCUUGUGUCAAGCAUGUAUAGGUAUGGCAGAAAUUCUGGAGCUUCUGUGUUUUAGUCCUUUAGAAUUACAAUGAAGAGAAGUGGAUUCUAAUAUUAUGAAUGAAAUAAUGGUGUAAGGAAAUGCAAUCCAUAAUUGUCUUUGUUAGAUGCCACUCAUCAAGAAACUGCAUUGUAUUCUAACAAUCCUGUGCAUUUAAUUUUGGUGCCUUUCUCUUUUCAGUUUGAAAUACAUAAAUAUUGCAAUGGUGACAAUUCUGAAGAAUAUGACAAAUAUUUUGACAGCAAUUGGGGAGUUAUAUAUUUUCCGAAAACAUCAGAAUCAGAAAGUGUGGGCUGCCAUGUUUUUAAUGGUAUACAAUAAAACCUUCCAUCACUCGCGUCAUGCAAACUUACUAAGCUGGUGAUGCUUAUCAUUUGUGCAGAACAGAGUAUAAUUGUCAAUCUCAGAACAAAAGACACGUAUUUUGAAUAAUGUUCAGAAAGAUAUAAACUUAUAUAUCACAAUUAGGAGUCACCUAAACUUAAAUUGCUUGUCAUGAUUAUAUCUUCAGUACAUAAUUUUGUCGCAUGGAAUAUGGACUUAAGCCAUGCUUGGCAAUAUCAGAAGUUAGCACCUGGAUACUAUAAUUGGAGUACUUCAAGUUUCAAUUCCCAACAGUUUUCCCCAUUCCUGUUUCUUUUUUAGUUUAUGAAAUUCCAAUUUCAAGAUUAAUGAGCUGUGUAUCUUUCUGUUUUGCAGAUUAUCUCUGCUAUUAGUGGCGGUAUUACAGAUCUUUCAUUUGAUGGAAUGGGUUAUGUAUGGCAAAUCAUGAAUUGCAUUCUAACAGCAAGUUACUCAGUAUGCAAACUUAAUGACUCUUUCAUUGAACCUCCCAGUAAACUUGUGAAAUGGCUUUGGAUAUCUGUAAUUUUCAGCUUUGGAGUAUGGGAACAAUUGUUUUUUGUGCACUACUCAUUCCACUAUUACAAUUUCCAACUAAUAUGCAACACUUUUACUUGACACAGCUUACCCUGCGUCGGGUGAUGGACAAAGCAAAGCAGUCUACAAGAAGUGGAUCUCUUAAUGAAAUUUCAAUGGUGUUGCUAAAUAAUUUGUUAUCUCUUCCCUUUGCCAUCUUCUUGAUUCUGCUGUUUGAUGAAUGGGCAUACGUGAUUAAUGUAGAUGUGAUCAAAUUACCAAUGUUCUGGGUUGUCGCAACAGUCAGUGGAUUGCUUGGACUUGCUAUUAGCUUCACCUCUAUGUGGUUCCUAAGCCAAACUGGCCCCACAACGUACAGUCUCGUGGGUUCAUUGAACAAGAUUCCUAUCUCUAUUGCUGGUCUAGUGUUGUUCAAGGUUCCACUCAGUCUACCAAAUUUGUUCAGUAUACUUUUUGGUCUAUUUGCUGGAAUAUUCUUUGCCAGGGCCAAAAUGUCCUGAUCCAAAAUCAAAUCUUCACAUGUAUUUGAUAACAGGGAAGAACAAGUGAGAUAGCUUCUGCUUGCUGAUUGAGAAAUUAAAUCUUGUUUCAAUACUUCCUUGCCACGGCCUGGAAGAAGCAGAGGCUUUGGAGGAAGGUAGAGGUAGUAUACUUAGUAAAAUAAAAAUUGAUUGACUAGGGCAUCUAAGAUUUGGGAGGCAAUCUGUUCUUAGAAAAUUGCAAGCUUGAAUAAGCUUCAGUGUUACUAUUUUGCAUAGAUACAGGAGUUAAUUGUCAUGUUUAAAAGUCAAUAUGCAUUCUUGAUUUCUUAUUGAUUAUCAAGAAAUAUAUAUAUAUAUAUAGACACUCAAAUAACGAAUAUCGUCUUUAAAUUUAUUACACAAUGUAUUCUUUCUGAAAGAGGAAAACAUGAGUAUUGUGUCGUUGCAAUAUAUAAUUGCAUGACAUAUUAUGG